GCCUGGGUGGCUCAGUCGGUUAAGCGUCUGACUUCAGCUCAGGUCACGAUCUCGCGGUCCGCGAGUUCGAGCCCCGCGUCGGGCU
rfam:Felis catus isolate Cinnamon breed Abyssinian chromosome D3, whole genome shotgun sequence.